CUUUGGCCAUGCACCCUCGUUUCUUUUCUCACAGAUUUAUACCCUAAAUGGUAAGAGAGAAGCUUAGAGACCGCAGACAAUGACCAACAAUAAAGGUCUGUGUGUAACUUCGCGAUGUUCUAAGGGCACGAGCCCGGGUACUUUGAUGCCUGCUAUCAGUACGAAUUGGGCUAAGCAAUCGGAAGGAGAGAGGCUACCGCUAUCCUACAAUUGUCCAAACUCCUGCGAAAUCCCUCGAAGAGCAUCCGCUAAUGUACACAACAUUGCUAACGGGAGUGAAGACUCUAGUAACAGGGGACAGAUACUAAGAUGAGGAUGAGGUCGAGGACGAAGACGAGGACGAGAACUACGAUGACGACGACGACGACGACGACGAGGUGAAGGAAGACAACGUAGAUGUAAGAGAAAGAGGUGUUACAGUGAUGGUGAUGACGCUAGAAGCUACUCCUACAAUUGUUAUUGUACAAUUUGCUGAGACUAAGGCGCGUAGAUUGCAAAGUGUGAGAGGAAGCACCUUUGGACAUCAGGCUGAGUAUUCAAACAGAGGAAAGCGCGCGCCUAGUUUGGUUUGGUCCUCUUCUAUUCUACCUUUUGCAUACCAGCCGCUGACUGCCUGCUACUGGUACUGGUACUUGCUACUGUUGCUGGUACUGGUACUGCUAUUGCUACUGCUGUUGCUACUGGUUCACUAUGUCCAUACCAUUCGGAGAUCUAUUGUCCUAAGGUUAAUCCUUAGCUUUCUAUCAAUCAUUGGCAAGAUCCUCGUUAAACUUUAUUUGUCCCAUGUAAUUGUAUUUUUAUUGAUUUAUCAUUUAAUCACGAAAAACUUAUUUCUCCAUAGAUAUUGAUAGUUAAGUCGAAAAGAAUUUUUCAUCGAGAUAGGAAGAAUAACGCGUUACGGUCUAAAGUUUCGCUGUUGGCCAAGAUCAAAGCGAAGGACCUUGUACAUUGUGGAUCCGCGAGAGUGAGAAAGGUGGAAAGAGAAAUACAGAGAGGGAGAGAGAGAGAGAGAGAGAGAGAGAGAGAGAGAGAGAGAUAGAAUGUGUCUAACAGUAGCAAGCAGAACUCCUAUUCCGUCUAAAGCAAUAACGAAGACGUUUGUUAACCGACUAUAACUUUACUGUGACGUGUUUCUCCGAAGGCGUUUGCUACCGAAUUGCUAUGAUUCCUUAUGUUAAUAUCAUACAAUAAAAUGGGAAACGCAUAAUUUAUUAUACAAUACGAUUAAAAGAAGUAAAUAAAUUUGAUCGGCCUUCCUUUCUAUUCGAAUCACCGCAUCUUCGAUCUUCUAUUUGCAAAAAAGAAAGAAAAAAAAAAAAAAUAAAAUAAAAAAAGAAGGAAAGGAAAAAACAAAUUAACCAUCGUCAUAAUGUUUAUAUUCGUAAAAUAAUAUCCCAUUAUUCACGUUAGAAUGGAACACGAUAAAAAAAAAAAAUAUCUUUUAAUAACGUAAGAAAUUCAAUAACCUCAUGAGGAAUUUAUUAUAUCACAAUGAAGAAAAUUCGUUGGUUGUCGUACGAA